GUCCACGCAGUAAACGAUGGAUGCUAGCUGUCCGGGCCGAAUGGGGCCUGGGUGGCACAGCGAAAGCGUUAAGCAUCCCACCUGGGGAGUACGCCGGCAACGGUGAAACUCAAAGGAAUUGACGGGGGCCCGCACAAGCGGAGGAACAUGUGGUUUAAUUCGAUGAUACGCGAGGAACCUUACCCGGGCUCAAACGCAGGCGGAAUACUUUUGAAAGGAGGUAGCCAGCAAUGGCCGUCUGCGAGGUGCUGCAUGGUUGUCGU
rnacentral:rRNA from 1 species